ACGGAAGAGCGCUCUCAUUUUAAUAUGCAUUCUGUUUGUAAGUAGUUCAUAAGACCUUGUUGAUGUAAAACUAUAACUGUGACGAUGUUGAGAACCCAAAAUAAACUCUGUCAAAGUGGAGCCGCUGUCGCUGUGCUCUGUGUCCGGGAUCCAGGACGAGGACGGUCCUGCUGCGCCGUCUUCGCAGCACAGGCGGACAGGGUCGUGGGGAGCCGGAGCCCAACCCAGCAACACAGGGCAUAAGGCUGGAGGGGAGGGGACGCACCCAGGACGGGACACCGGGCCGUCGCAAGGCACCCCAAGCGGGACUCGAACCCCGGACCCAGUGGAGAGCAGGACCCGGUCCAAACCGCUGCUCCCCCGUCACCUAAGUACCACGUGGUAAUUAUUGUAGGUCGCUUUAGAGAAAAGUGUCUCCAAAAUGCAUAAAUGUAAACUUAUGAACACAUUAUAUUGCGUCGAACAGCGAACAAACGAAUGGCCGGAGUCAAACCAGGGACCCCAAGACUGCAAGCAGAAAAAAGGUGGCUUUUUGUAAUAAUGUCUUCGUGUACGUCGCGUAUUUCUCCGCUGCUCUUAGCCCGACGUGCAAAUAGAUAAUUAAAAAAAAAAAAAAAACCCCAAAAAGAAAGUGGAAAAGAGCUCAGCUGCGUAUCACAGUUACACGAUUUCCUUCCUUAAGCGUGAGGCCUGGAGUCAAAGAUAAAUGUCCUUCGUCCCUGCAGUCAAGCGCUCGUCUGCGCUGCCACUUCCUUCACGGUAGGAGGCUUCAUUUUCUCUCUUACAAACUGCACAUUACCAUGUAAAUUAAACGGUGUUAAUAUUUGAUACGGCACGUCCGCGGAGGGGAGCGUGUUUUUUCGCUCAUGAAUAAUUCGUGUCAGUGGACAUAAUGGGUGUAAAAGGCGAAGAGCGGUAGGACAGCAGAGGUACGACUUGGGGCUCCCGCUGCCUUCCUCUAAAGCGGCGAGCGGUUUCCUUCAUGGUAUCGUUACGUUUAUUUGUGUAGCUGAUGCUUUUCUCCAAUGUCACUUAAAGUUAUUUAACUAUUUAUACAGUGGGCUAACUUAAGAGGAGCACUUGGGUUAAGUACCUUACUCAAGAGUACUACAGCUAGAGGUGGGAUUUGAACCUGUAACCACUAGAUUC
rnacentral:lncRNA from 1 species